GGAAAAUACGUGCGAGACUGCUCGGGAAUACGUGGGGUGCGAGCGUGAGCCGGAAUUAUUGGGCGUAAAGAGCUCGUAGGCGGUUGGUGGCGUCUGUCGUGAAAGGCCGGGGCUUAACCCCGGAUCUGCGGUGGGUACGGGCAGACUAGAGUGCAGUAGGGGAGACUGGAAUUCCUGGUGUAGCGGUGGAAUGCGCAGAUAUCAGGAGGAACACCGAUGGCGAAGGCAGGUCUCUGGGCUGUAACUGACGCUGAGGAGCGAAAGCAUGGGGAGCGAACAGGAUUAGAUACCCGUGUAGUC
rnacentral:rRNA from 1 species